AUUUGGUUUUUUCAUAUGGAAUGACACUUUUUUCCGAUUAUUGUAUUUUUAGUCUCACGUACUGGCUGCGUGGAUAAUCUGUCUUUCUUUUUUUCCACUUUCGGUACUGAUUUAUAUUUUUUACUCGAUGAGCGACUACUAUACAAACAAUAAAUUGUUUGCAAUAUUGUUUAUACCAAACAAUAUUCUCUAUCGGUGUGGCAUCUACGAUCUUUGGUAUGUCUCAAGGGCAUGGAGGUAUUUUUAAAAAAUUGUUUGAAAAUCGUCGUUACCAGCUCAUGGCUAAUUUAUCUUACAAUGCUUACGUUGUACACUAUACAAUUGCCAUGUUAAGUGCUGGUUUAAAGAUGCAGCCUUCAUACACCUCCGCUUACAUUAUGUGUUGUGAUAUACUGACCACAAUAGUGCUUUCCUUUUUGGUGUCAAUAGUUCUGACUCUGUUUGUACAAAUGCCUCUUACCAUUUUGUCGAAAAAGAUGAUGUUUAUGGUAAAAUAGUCAUAAUAAAUAUGUAGUUGCAUGAGCAGUAGCACCAUCCUGUUGAAACUAUCCUGUCACGAAAUUUUUAAUAUCAUGGAGACUUAAAGGAGAAGGAAGGAACGUGUAAAAGGGCGACGAAACUCUCACCCACCUUA